rnacentral:snRNA from 1 species
ACAAAAAUUCUCCGAUCAA